UCUUCUUGUUCAAGUCGUCUCUCUCUUCCUUUUCAUGUUCCUUCUUCAUGGUCUAUCUUGAAUCGUUUGUUUCCUCUGUUUAGGUCAGGACUUUCUCGUUGCGGAUGCAUCGUUUUGGUCGAUGCUGUGUAGUUGUAACAAAGUUCCUUCCACGAAUCCAUGAAUCGAUGAUUGUGUUGGCUGAUCUUUAUUCGAUUCGCGUAUUUUCCCCCCAUUUUAUUACGUUGUUAUGCUGUCAUUUUGUUUUUCUUCUCCUCUUGUGUCAUUGUCCUGGGGAGGUUUCUCGUGAUCAACAUAAACAGUAGUUUACUGUUUACGAAAAUCUCCCCCGUCUGAUUAUGCUCUGUACAGUUUUUGUGUGUAGGUCUGUUCUUUCGUGGAGUUUGGGUUGUGGGUGUCUUAUCAAGAAUGAUCCUUCUAAGUUGUGAAGGUUGCAUGAUUUUUUAUUGAUGCCUAUGAUGGUUAUAAAUAUACUUUGAGUUUAUACCUUGAAAAGAAAAGCAUUCUGAGGCAUGUUAGAUGCUGCAACCUCAUCCUUUUUUUUUGCUCUUCAUGGUUUGUUGAUUUCAACCUGUAGGUUUCUGUUGGACGUUGUUAUUGUCCGUCAGACGGAAUGCUAAAUCCAUGUUUGGUAGUUCAUUUCUUGAACUUGAUGCAUUUUUCUUCGAUCUUUGAUUCCUGCUGUGUUGGUGAAGGGUUCUUCUUGUUUUCAUCUCUUCUGAUACAGUAUGGUCGUUUUCUGGAAUUAUUGAUCAAUGAUCUCCCUUUUAUUGAUCAAACGCUCUGUUCCUAGUCGCUUUUCAUGUCCUUUAAUCUUAUGUUUGGUAGGAGAUGAUUUUCUGAUAAAUUCAAAAAUGCGAUUGCCAAUGAUGCUUUCUUCUUGCACGUAUUAUCAGAGUACGUCAUGAUGAAACCAUGUUAUUGUCACUACCUCUGAGGCAGUUCUUUAGGCGACAUAUUUUCAUUCAAGCGUGAUGUUUUCUUCUCCCUUUCCCCUUAGUUUCUACUGUCGCUUUUUUUUUGUAUUUUGAUCGAAAUUUUCAUUAAAUUUUAUUCUAAUUUUUGCUUCAGAGUAGGCUAGUAGACAGAAAUGCUAUUGGUCUCAAUUUUGUUUCUUUAAUAUUUCAAUCCUUUAUGUAACAGAAAAAACGUACCAACUGACGGAUCUCUACGUUCUUGUUCUGCUUUUUCACUAGGCUUUUGAUAUUUUUUAGCGACUCGUAAUGCAAAUCAAAAUGUUUUUGCAAGUGACGACGAAACAGACAGGGACAUCUGCACUCCUCAUGGAGGUUGAAGACUUGUCUUUGGGAAUCUCUCUGAUGCAUUAACAUGUAGUUGCAUAUCACCAUGGUCCAUUUAGUCUUUUAUCGAGAUUAUGGGGAUUGGAAGGUUUCUGGUGCACAAAGCCUUCGCACGGUUGAAAGCGGGAUGGGCACCGAUACAUUGCAUUGCCAAUUUGAGUUUUAUAGUUUAUCCGCUUCCUGGAUCCUCAAGGCAUUUUAUACCAUUUUUAGUCCUUUACCAGAAGAGAAAGGUGUUCAAGUGAUGAGGAAAUACUGCAACAAUAUGAUCAAGGAUGAUUCUUAUCGUAUUUAAGUCUCUGAUGACCUUUAUUCCGUCUUGUCUUCUUUCUUUAAAUUGUAGGUGUUGUUCUCUUUGUUCUUCUAUAUUUAUAAACUUGUGAUAUUUUUACAUUUUGAGUUUAUCGUUUUGUUUUCUCGUCAACUACACGAAUGGUGCAUUGGAGGGAGAUGAUGAGCUUCUCAUUGGUCCGUGUUUCUGAUCCAACCUUGACUGAAACUCUUUAACCAAUCUCUGAUCCCUCUAAUGUAUUCCUAAUCGUUUGCUUCUUUUUGGUUUUGAUUAUGUAUGAUUAAUUCCUUUCUUCAUUUCUUUGCAUUUUCGUGAAUUGUUUUUCUGCUUUUUAGCCGUUAUUACCAUGCUUUUUCAUUUGGUUUCAACUUAUUUGAUUGUCUAUUUCUGUGGUUAGUCAAAGUUGGUUGUUCUGCCGUUUCUCCUAUGAUUACUGGCUCCAUGAUCGUACGCCAACAUUGGCAAUAUACGCUAUUCUGAGAUUUGUCAAUUGCUCUGCUGACAAAUUGAGAGAGAAUAUGAGAGCUUCUUGAUUGAAAUUUUUUGCGUUCAGUUUCAUUCAUUUUCUUUUUGGCAAGUUACGCUUUUUGGCCAGCAAAGGUGUAGUAUGUGAGAAGGUUCUGCUAUGAUGAAUUGAUAUUUCCAUUCCACAUGUCAGACUUUGGAGACAUUGUUGUCUAUGAGAAAAAAAAAUAUCAUUCCCUGAGCAGUUCGAUGCAUCUUGUGCCACCUUCUCCAUUCCGUCAAUUGAAUGUCUUCAUUUUUUUUUUGUUCCUUUCCAUCGGGUCUGCUUUUCUGUCAUAUGUUCCAUUUUAUUUUGUCGAAGAUUCUUAGUUUUCGUAUGUCAUUCCAGUCAAUUUUUUGGUUACUGUUAUUGUCUUUGAAUGUUUCAACAUACCCGUUACUGUUACCUGUGGAGGAUUUCUCCGUCUAAACCAGGACUGAGAUAUCCAGGAAUCGUGACAUUAUUCAACAUAUCUAAAAAAAAUUAUACAAGUUAUUAGACUUUAUUAGUUUGGAUUAAAGGUAUUUGGAUCAUUUUGUCUCAAUAAACUACGCUUUAAUUGAGAGAUGGUUAUUUUUAAUAGUGGUGAAUGAUGCUUUAUCAAUAUUUAAAGGUUAAGUAAUAUUUAAAGGUUAAGUAAUGUGUUUUUAAGUAAAGGUUAAGUAAGGUUAUUAUCUGGAUUUUCCAGCUAUAUUGGUGAUAAUGGUUCGAGUCAUAUUGAUCUGUUUUGAUCCUUCAGAUAAUUGUAGAUAAACUCUAACUUAAAAUAACCGUUUUCUGAAGUUCGCAAAAUCGGAGAACUGUGGAUUUGUUUCAUUUCAGUGAGUAAUGGUGAUGUUGGUACAAUAACCACUUAAUGCCUAAGUGCAUAAAUUUUAUUCAAAAGACAGAGCUUAGGUUACACAGAAAGGGUAGUCUUGGAAACCUUGAAUUCUAUAUGUCGGAUAAUGUUAAGCCGACAAGGAUUUUCUGGAAAGAGAAUGGAAAAAACAUAUCAAAACAACUAAUGGCUUGAAGACUAAUCUCUUGUUAUCAAAGUCUCUAAUCCCAUCAAAAUUAUUACAAUCUUACAUCUAUUUGAGUUACACAUCAACUGGUAACAUCCCAAAUUGGCCUCCUGAAACUUGACUAAAGUAAAAGGUACGUCUAUAUUUCUAUUAUAUUACGAUAUCUGCCAAUUUAUGUGACAAAACUCAAAAGUGUCCAUAUGAAUUAUGAACAGAUGUUAAUAAAAGGGCUUAUACCAUGGAUGUGUAUUGGCUCAAAAAGCCAGACGUUGAACCCUAAAAACAAAAUUUUUGAGUCAGAAUGGCACAAGAAAAUGAUGUCAACCCACUUUGUUAAGCGGGAUAACUAGGCAAUCUGGCAAUCGUGUUGGAAACUGACCCAAAAAGCUAGAUGUUUUAAAAAUGCAAACUGCAGCAAGCAUGCAUUUGUCAAUCACGAUAAAUAAGAACUAAUGUGUGAACUGCCUAUAUAUAAAAUUUGUACAUGAAUUGGAAAACAAAUCUCCCCCUCAUCCACUUUACCAGGCUUCCUUUCCCUUCUUUUCUUUCUAUCCCAUCCCUUUUUUUAGGUUGAGUGGUCUUUCCACCACCUUGAAAAGAAGCCGUAGCUCGUCUAAAGGAGCAGCACAUUGGGUAAAGAGUGCUUGAAAUUUCUCCUAUUGCAAAGAGAUACUUUCAACAAUUUACAUAUGAAUAAAAAUUCCUCCUGCCUUAGUCAAUUUGGUUGCUAUACUUUCAAACUGAAGAAUGAGAUAGGUGCACAUAAAUGUUGUAUAGUGAUGCCAAUACAAGGUCGCCAUUUCCAAUUGGAAUAUGGUAAAGCACUUGACACAUGAAUUGCAGUUUGCUCUCUCCCUUCGCCGAGGAAAAUUUCUCCUCUCCCCUCCUCUCCUCCCCUCCCCUCCCCUCUCAGUCCUCCCUCCGACUUCCAUCUCUGAAGCCCCUCAAAUCCUCCUUCCUCCAUGGAUUACACCCUCUUCCCCUCCGCCUCUUCAUCUCCGGCUGUGCUACCAUCACCACCACCCUUCCUCCCCAUCAAAACAAUGAAGAAUCUACGCCACCAACGACAGGACCGUGGCCAUGGAGGUCAUCAGAAUCUACGCCCACCCCAAGUAUAAGCACAGGACGAAGAGCAAGAAGAAGUAUCAGGCACACAACACACAUAACCAGAUCAAUGUCAUCCUCCAGUUCGAGAAGAGCAGGCCCAUCAGCAAGACCAAGACGAGGCUCGCCAUCACCGUCGUGGCCAAGAACAAGCUGAAGACGCCGGAAGCAACUGGAGCCCGAUCGAUCAUAGGGAGCUCUCCAGCUCUGUUUUCUUUCUGGUACCUAAAGAUUCCUUGGUUUUUAUAAUUCCAGCUUUCGGUGGUGUGGUUUCAUGGGAAGGUGAAGCUUCUCCUUUUAAUGAAGCUGAUGAGAGCAUCAACCAUCAGGGUACCUCCUUCCCAUUUAUCACCUUUUGUUGAUAAUGAAGCUGAAGGUUACGUACCUGAGUAUGCCCAAGUCCUCAAACAGUUGCAAGCUGCUGCUAAAAAGCAAGUCCUACCAAUGCCAGACACUGAUGACUAUGAUCCGCAAAGUCUAUUGAUGGAAGGUGUUGCAGAUAGGAACGAAGCUAAUGACGCUGCCAAAAAGAAAGAGGAGCUUGAGAAGCAGUACCUGGAUGAAUUGAAAAUGGAACUUCAAGCAUCACCUACUCUGUCUAUUUAGCAAAAAAGAAAGCAGAAACUUCACAGAACGAUGCUACUGAAGCUAACCAACAGGAUCCCUCAACUUCUGAAGCUAAACAACCAGAUCCGUCAACUUCUCAACCAGUGUUUGAGACUGCAAACAACUUGGAAGAGGUUAUGAUGCCUCGUAAGAAGCGGAAGCUUCUUGAGGCCAUGAAGAUUGGUAAGGAGAGGAAGCAGGCUAAGCUUUUAGUCUUUAUGAAGAGCGGAAAAGAAAAGCAAAGGUAGCAAAGAAGAAGGAAUGAGAUGCCUCCAUAACUAUGUCACACGGGGCCUUGUGGGGUCUUGCCGGCUGCGUGGGUGGUUAGGAUUAGGUGAUUCUACAGAACAGUCUUCUUGGAGUAGAGCCAGAGAUAUCUGGAGCUUCUGUUGUAUUGCCAAACGUCUAAUGUGGUUGUGAAGGGUGGCAGGAAGCUGCACAACUCAGAGAAGCUUUGGCUGACAGUGAUGUCUAGAAAUUCACAUAUGGGAAGAAAUGAAAGGAUUAAUUCAGUUAAUAGGCCGCCAUGGAUGGCCGGCACAUGGUGUUCGGAACACCAAUCAACUGCAUUGCCGAUUGGAGUUUACAUUUCAACUGCUUUCUGGAUCCUGACCAGGUGGUGGACUCAAUUGCUUUUUUCAGUAAGAGAGUAGAAAUGUCCAUCAAAUCCCUUUCUAUGAUCAAAACUUCUUGUAAGUACGCAACUCUCUCCCUCACGCACACACAUAUACACAGCGAGAAGUGUAUAAGAGAAAGAUGUUCAGGUGAUGAGGAAAUGCUGUGCAAUACGAUCAAGGAUGAUUCUGAUCGUGUUUAAGUCUCUGAUGACAUUGCUUCUGUCUAUUAUCCUUCUUUAGAAUGUAGGCAUUCUUCUCUUUUUCUUUUAUAUGUAUGAAGUAUGAACUUAUGAUAUUUUCACAUUUUGAGUU